UGGGAAUAUUGCACAAUGGGCGGAAGCCUGAUGCAGCAACGCCGCGUGCGGGAUGACGGCCUUCGGGUUGUAAACCGCUUUCGCCUGUGACGAAGCGUGAGUGACGGUAAUGGGUAAAGAAGCACCGGCUAACUACGUGCCAGCAGCCGCGGUGAUACGUAGGGUGCGAGCGUUGUCCGGAUUUAUUGGGCGUAAAGGGCUCGUAGGUGGUUGAUCGCGUCGGAAGUGUAAUCUUGGGGCUUAACCCUGAGCGUGCUUUCGAUACGGGUUGACUUGAGGAAGGUAGGGGAGAAUGGAAUUCCUGGUGGAGCGGUGGAAUGCGCAGAUAUCAGGAGGAACACCAGAGGCGAUGGCGGUUCUCUGGGCCUUUCCUGACGCUGAGGAGCGAAAGCGUGGGGAGCGAACAGGCUUAGAUACCCUGGUAGUCCACGCUGUAAACGGUGGGUACUAGGUGUGGGGUCCAUUCCACGGGUUCCGUGCCGUAGCUAACGCUUUAAGUACCCCGCCUGGGGAGUACGGCCGCAAGGCUA
rnacentral:rRNA from 1 species